rnacentral:rRNA from 1 species
UACGUGAGUGGCGAGCGUUAUCCGGAAUUACUGGGCGUAAAGCGUGCGUAGGCGGUGUGUCGCGUCGGCCGUGAAAACCUGGGGCUCAACUCUGGGCGUGCGGUCGAUACGGGCAUCACUAGAGUUCGGCAGGGGAGACUGGAAUUCCUGGUGUAGCGGUGAAAUGCGCAGAUAUCAGGAGGAACACCGGUGGCGAAGGCGGGUCUCUGGGCCGAUACUGACGCUGAGGAGCGAAAGCGUGGGGAGCGAACAGG